UACGGAAGGCAGCAGUGGGGAAUAUUGCACAAUGGGCGAAAGCCUGAUGCAGCUAUGCCGCGUGUAUGAAGAAGGCCUUAGGGUUGUAAAGUACUUUCAUCGGGGAGGAAAAAACAAAACUAAUAAUUUUAUUUCUUGACGUUACCCGAAAAAGAAGCACCGGCUAACUCCGUGCCAGCAGCCGCGGUAAUACGGAGGGGUGCUAGCGUUAAUCAGAAUUACUGGGCGUAAAGAGCACGUAGGUGGUUUUUUUAAGUUCAGAUGUGAAAUCCCUGGGCUUAACCUAGGAACCGCAUUUUGAAACUGAAAUACUAGAGUAUCGUAGAGGGAGGUAGAAUUCUAGGUGUAGCGGUGAAAUGCGUAGAUAUCUGGAGGAAUACCUGUGGCGAAAGCGGCCUCCUAAACGAAUACUGACACUGAGGGUGCGAAAGCGUGGGGAGCAAACAGGGAUUAGAUACCCUA
rnacentral:rRNA from 1 species